rnacentral:lncRNA from 1 species
UUUCUGUUGUGAGAUGUUCUGGCUUGCCUUACACUCAGGCAAACUGGUGACUUACACAGAUUCUUAAAGACAGGUUGGGGUCCCCACAGACAUACUUUCUCUAUAACUUGCUCUCUUCCUCUCUCAAAAUCCCUGGACACUUGCACCGCAGCACUCAGCUGCAUCCGUGGCACAGCUCAUUUGUGCAGUUUUAUGACCUUGCUUUUGGCUGGUUUCCAAUUGCCUCUGGUUUUGUCUUCAUUGCCAGGGAGACAAAGGCGCAAUGGGGAUUCCUGGGCGGCCGGGACUAAAAGGGCAACCUGGAGAGAAGGGUGCUCCAGGAGAAGCAGGCAUGUCUAUCAUUGGGCCCCGUGGUCCACCCUUCAGCCAUCAAGCCUCUGCUUUUGUGCAGAUGCAGCCAGUCCUCCUCACUCCAUCCCUGUGCAGCCUUCUCUGGAGAUUUCCAUGAGAAAAGACCCAGGGACUUAAUUCUCUCCCUCCCUCUGGGCACUUCCGAUUUUGAUUAACCUGUGAAGAGCACUGUCCUUGACCUGCCAAGAGGAUGGGCCGCUGGCGACUUUUGUUUCACAGCAGAGGUCAAGUGAGAGAGACCUAGGCAGCACGAAUGCUUGGCUACAUCUGGCUUUCCAAUUAGCUUUCCAAAAGAAGAGUUUCUAAUAAGUAACAGCUUUGUGGGCUCCCAGGCCCACCUGCGCGGCACACUGGAGUUUGGAAGCAACAGAACUGAAGCAAAAGAAUUUCCUUAAGCAUUUGUUACACAACAGAUCAGCCCUGGUCACUUGGCCAGGUGAGGAGGGUGGGCUGAUGGGUUCCUCCAUGCUAAUCUCUGAGAAAAGCCACCCAGUGCCACAAGCAGUUUUUGGAGGGUAAGGGCUGCACAUUUCGAAACCUAGUGGUUCCCAUCAAUGUAGGACCUGCAAACGUAGCUGGGCACUGCUCUUUCCCUGAAGGACACGUGCCUAGUCUGCAAGACAGACUUAAUGUCUCUUUCAGUGCAGCCUCAUUGCCUUUACUGCCAUUUGGGAAAGCAGAGAACACGUUGCACCUCAAAAAAAAAAAAAAAAAAAAUCCAAAACAACCAGAAAAUGUAGAUGGCAAGUGAUUUUAAGAGGAGUUUUUGCCUAAUUUGGUCAGAGCCCUGAGGUGCGAAGAGUGGGGCAGCUCCCUGCUUCCCCCCCAUAGCCCUUGUGAAGAUGAUCCCAUUUCCAGGGGAGCUGGUGGUAGGUCAGAAGGAUGGCUGAGCACCGAAGACAAACACAGGAACCCCAGCCAAGAGGUCACUUGGGAAGAUGUGGGAUGAGAAAUAGUUUCCAGAUUUUCAUUUGAAGGUUAAAGUUUUUGCUCAGAGCUGCUUAACUCCUGGCCAGAGAGGGACAGUGUGCCGAUAGUGGCAGAAACAGAUGAUCUCCAUGAUUUGGCAGCUCCCGGGAUUACAUACUUCAUAGGAUCAACAUCUUAAAAAGACAAG